rnacentral:rRNA from 1 species
GACGAACGCUGGCGGCGUGCCUAAUACAUGCAAGUCGAGCGCAGGAAGUCAUCCGAACCCUUCGGGGGGACGUUGACGGAAUGAGCGGCGGACGGGUGAGUAACACGUAAAGAACCCGCCCUCAGGUCUGGGAUAACCACGAGAAAUCGGGGCUAAUACCGGAUGGGUCAUCGGACCGCAUGGUCCGAGGAUGAAAGGCGCUCCGGCGUCGCCUGGGGAUGGCUUUGCGGUGCAUUAGCUAGUUGGUGGGGUAAUGGCCCACCAAGGCGACGAUGCAUAGCCGACCUGAGAGGGUGAUCGGCCACACUGGGACUGAGACACGGCCCAGACUCCUACGGGAGGCAGCAGUAGGGAAUCUUCCACAAUGGACGAAAGUCUGAUGGAGCAACGCCGCGUGAACGAUGAAGGCCCUCGGGUCGUAAAGUUCUGUUGUAAGGGAAGAACAAGUGCCGCAGGCAAUGGCGGCACCUUGACGGUACCUUGCGAGAAAGCCACGGCUAACUACGUG